rnacentral:lncRNA from 1 species
GCCCCUUCUUCACUCUGUCUCCAAACCUUACCAAAUCAGAAGUGUGAGUACAUUGGUUCCCUAUUCUCAUGGAAAUUAUAUUCUAGAGUAGGAAAUUAGGCUACAAGCAACCAUAUCAAUAAAAAAGAUAAUUUCAGAGGGUAAAAGUUCUACAAUGAAACAAAACAACGUGAUAGAAAGAAAGUGAUGAAAAGUUACCUUGAACUGAGUGGUCAGGGAAGACAUCUCUGUGAAGCUGAGCUCAUAAUGACAAGAAGCAGCCAGGUCAGCCAUGUGAAUGUAUCGGAACAGGACAUUCCAAGUGGUGAUGACAACAAAGAUAAAAGCUCUAAGGGAGAAACAAGUUUGUUUAUGAAAUAGACCUGUGUGGCUGGUUCAUGGUGAGCUAGCAUAUUAGUUUUCUAUUACUACUGCAACAAAUUAUCAUAGUGGCUUAAAAAAUACAAAUUUACCAUUUUACAGUUCUGGAAGUCAGAAGUCUGAAUGAGUCUCACUGGGCUGAAAUCAAGGUGGCUGCAGGACUGCAUUCCUUUCUGGAAGUUCUAAGGGAGUAUAUAUUUCCUUGCCUUUUCCAGCUUCUAGAGGUUGCUGACACUGCUUGGCUCAUGGCCCUUCCUCUCCACCCUCAAAACAAUGUGGGUUGAGUCUUAGAUUAUGUCAUGUUGAUGACCUUAUUUCUGUCAUCACAUCUCAUUCUCUUGACUCUUCUGCCUCCCUGUUCUUUUAAGAACGCUUCUGAUUACAUUGGAUCACCUACAGAAUCCAGGAUAACUUUCCAUUUUAAGCUGCAGCCAAGUGGUGAUGCCCAGGAAUGCCUCAGCACCUAUUGCAUUGCUCUUCACCAGAGGGACCUGGAAGACCAAACUGGCUAAGAAGAGGGAAGUGUCUGGUUUGGCCUGUCUCAGCAGAGGGGAAGAGUUCCAAAUAAGAAUGGGGAAGUUGCAGGGGCAUAAAAUCAUAAAAGAAGCAGACUCUAAGUGACUGCAGUUAUCUCAAGGUUAAUUUCUAUUAUCCAGAUUACC